UAGAUGCUGCCUUUGAAACUUCCUGCUGUCAUUUCUUAGCCAAGGGAGCCAGUCUUCUCUUCAAAAGAUUGGGAUAGCAUGUAGACUUUCAUGUUGUAUGGAAACUGUUAGGUCAGGGCUUGAGCUGGUGAUGGAGCACCUGGUGAAGAGCUGUGGCUGGUCCAGGGAGCACAGGCACAUUGUUUGCAUCUGUGCUCUCCAUGUGCUCAGAAGAAGUGGACCCAGGGUGAAGCCACUCUGGGCUCAUAUAAGGGCAGCCACUGAAGGAAGAGCAGUUCUUGGGCCUGGGCUGCUUUUUGAGGAGGAGUGCUGUAUGGCAGAGAGCCCCUUCACCAAAAGGGGAUCAACCUUCCUACUCAUAGGCUUCCAUGGCCAUGCAAAAAUCUUUUUUGAAGCUCCUCUUUGAGUUCCCUGUGGCAAGAAACAGCUGUUUCUGUUCUAAACUCGGCUCCUCAUGCUCUCAGGCCAAUCAUGUCAAUCUGGUGGAGUAAAGGUCUAAAGGUCUCUGGAUAUUCACACAGUACUUCAUCAGAGGCAUCUUCCAAGGACAGGACAUAGCACUGAGGAAAUGAGUGCCAGAGUCAAGAUAGCUAGUUCUUGG
ensembl:lncRNA